rnacentral:tRNA from 1 species
GGAGGCGUGGCCGAGUGGUUGAAGGCACCGGUUUGGAGUACCGGCAUAGGGGAAAUCCUAUCAGAGGUUCGAAUCCUCUCGCCUCCG